rnacentral:rRNA from 1 species
GACGAACCGUCCAAACGUUAUUCGGAAUCACUGGGCUUACAGAGUUCGUAGGCGGUCUGGAAAGUUGGGUGUGAAAUCCCUCGGCUCAACCGAGGAACUGCGCUUGAAACUACCAGACUCGAGGGAGAUAGAGGAAAGCGGAACUGAUGGUGGAGCGGUGAAAUGCGUUGAUAUCAUCAGGAACACCGGUGGCGAAGGCGGCUUUCUGGGACGGUACUGACGCUGAGACGCGAAAGCGUGGG